rnacentral:pre_miRNA from 1 species
AUAUAGGACAAUCUGUGUGAGUCAGAAUAAAUUUCUCUGAACAAAAUGAAACUUAAGCAGCUUUUCUUUCAGGUCAAGUGUCUUGU